CCUACGGGAGGCAGCAGUAGGGAAUAUUGCUCAAUGGGGGAAACCCUGAUGCAGCAACGCCGCGUGUAGGAUGAAGGUUUUCGGAUUGUAAACUCCUUUUGUUAGAGAAGAUAAUGACGGUAUCUAACGAAUAAGCACCGGCUAACUCCGUGCCAGCAGCCGCGGUAUUACGGAGGGUGCAAGCGUUACUCGGAAUCACUGGGCGUAAAGAGCGAGGAGGCGGGAUAGCAAGUCAGAUGUGAAAUCCUUUGGCUUAACCAUAGAACUGCAUUUGAAACUGUUAUGCUAGAGUAUGGGAGAGGUAGGUGGAAUUCUUGGUGUAGGGGUAAAAUCCGUAGAGAUCAAGAGGAAUACUCAUUGCGAAGGCGACCUGCUAGAACAAGACUGACGCUGAUGCGCGAAAGCGUGGGGAGCAAACAGGAUUAGAUACCCGGGUAGUC
rnacentral:rRNA from 1 species